AUGUUUGUAACCAUCAAUGAUUGGCCUGCUCUUAGUAACCUUUCAGGACAGACAAACAAGGGAUACCAUGCAUGCACGCACUAUUUAGAUGACACCGAAAGUAUAUAUUUGGACAAAUGCAGGAAGAAUGUGUACCUGGGACAUCAUCGAUUUCUUCCGACCAACCAUCAAUGUCGAAAGAAAGGCAAGCAUUUCGAAGGCGAGGCAGAUCACCGGAAGCAGCGCGCCGUCCGUAUUGGUGAUCACAUACUUGCUACGGUUAAUGAUUUAGAAGUAAUCUUUGGAAAGGGUCCCGACAGACUAUCUGUUCCAAAUGACAUUGAGGGACGCGCACCCAUGUGGAAGAAGUAA
rnacentral:rRNA from 1 species